rnacentral:rRNA from 1 species
ACUGCUCAGUAACACGUGGACAAUCUGCCCUUGGGUCUGGGAUAACUCCGGGAAACUGGAGAUAAUACCAGAUAGGUCAUAGAUGCUGGAAUGCUCUAUGGCCCAAAGCUCCGGCGCCCAAGGAUGAGUCUGCGGCCUAUCAGGUUGUAGUGGGCGUAAUGGACCCACUAGCCUACGACGGGUACGGGUUGUGAGAGCAAGAGCCCGGAGAUGGAUUCUGAGACAUGAAUCAGGCCCUACGGGGCGCAGCAGGCGCGAAACCUUUACAAUGCGCGCAAGCGCGAUAAGGGGACCUCGAGUGUUCCUACCUAGUAGGAACUGUCCAGUUGUCUAAAAAACAACUGUUAGCAAGAGCCGGGCAAGACCGGUGCCAGCCGCCGCGGUAACACCGGCGGCUCGAGUGGUGACCGCUUUUAUUGGGUCUAAAGGGUCUGUAGCCGGUCUAACAAGUUCUUUGGAAAAUCUGGUCGCUUAACGAUCAGGCUGCUAGGGGAUACUGUUAGACUUGGGACCGGGAGAGGCUAGAGGUACUUUAGGGGUAGGGGUGAAAUCCUGUGAUCCUUAAAGGACCACCAGUGGCGAAGGCGUCUAGCUAGAACGGAUCCGACGGUGAGGGACGAAAGCUGGGGGCACGAACCGGAUUAGAUACCCGGGUAGUCCCAGCCGUAAACGAUGCGAGCUAGGUGUCAGUUUUACUGCGAGUAAAAUUGGUGCCGUAGGGAAGCCGUGAAGCUCGCCACCUGGGAAGUACGGCCGCAAGGCUGAAACUUAAAGGAAUUGGCGGGGGAGCACUACAACGGGUGGAGCCUGCGGUUUAAUUGGA